CCGAGCAUGAUAUGUUUUCAUGUUGCAAUGACUAUUGUCCUCGUGAUAUCGAGGAAAUGCAGUGUUAUAUCUGCAAGUCUUUUGGUCAUCUGUGUUGUGCUGAUUCGCUGCAUGCAUCUCCGAUACCUGUACUUUCUUGUUACAACUGUGGCCAGUCUGGACAUUUGGGUUCAGGAUGCAUGAAAACAUGUGAAGACACGCGUGGCGUUUCCUCCCAGCCUUGCACCACAGGGGCGGAGAAGGUUGUAGUUUUGCAGGAAAAUUCCUAAUAUGAAGGUUCUAAUAAUGGCCACUUUUUAAAGCCUGGACGGGAGACAUCUGGAUGACCUAUCAGCCUCAGCUUGAAAUUUGCUUCUAUCUUGAUGAAUGAGGAAGACGGAAAAAAAAAAAGGCAUAGACCUCCCAAGCUCAGGAGAAAGCUGGAUCAAUGCAAGAAAACCAAAGUGUAACUACAGGAUGAUCAGUGGAACUGAAGCAACAGAGAACCUAGUACUGAUAUCAGUUCUAGCAAGCCUAAUGAUUCUAAUCAUUAGGAUUUGCUAGUACUGAUCUGAAGUCUGAACCAUUUUAUGCCAAAUAACACAAAGGGUAUCAUGCAAAACGCUGAAUGAGAAAUGGGAAAGAAAGUAUUUUUAAGCUGGAGAACCCAUGAAAUUGUAGAGAGGGAGAGAGAGAGAGAGAAGAAAUUACCAUGCAAAACGAUGAAAUGAACAGAACGAGCGAAGGGGAUGACAGUGAUGGAGACGAUGAAGAUGAAGAGGAAAGUGAUUGAUGGUGGUGGUGGUGGAGAAGCCAUUGAUGUGAAGAUGAUUUUGGUGGGAGUUUGAGAUUUUUCGAGAAAUUUAAGGUUUAGAAUUCAUAGGUCUUUGGAGAACUCUUGGGUAGGGGAUGAGGAUCACAUGCUAAUUGCAAAGAGAGAGAUG